UAGCACUUCUAAUGCUUGUAAAAUACUCCAGAUAAUGUCAGCCUUUUCCAGUGUCUCAUUCUGGGGAAGUCCUCAUGCCCUCCUACAGAAAUGGAAAAUGGGAAAAGGAAAGGACCUCCUUAGCAUCUUUCAACGACAAAGCAAAAUAAGGAAAUGAAUAUCUGCCCAGAUCGCCCAGUCCAAUCAAUUUUCAGGAUCCAUGGCAGCUCUGGAUUCAUCGUCUCUAGUGAUUCUGAGUGUAACAAGACAUUUUCCUAUCUUAUACACGUGACCCUAUGUGACCCCAGUGUUUCUACCUUUUACCCAGCUAGUAGUCUCUUGGCUUCAUUCCAAAAUUUCAAAAAUAAAGGCUGCAAAUUAUAAC
rnacentral:lncRNA from 1 species